UACAGGGGGUGCAAACGUUGCUCGGAAUUAUUGGGCGUAAAGCGCGCGUAGGCGGCUAUCUAAGUCGGAUGUGAAAGCCCCUGGCUUAACUGGGGAAGUGCACCCGAAACUGGGUAGCUAGAGUGCAAAAGAGGGUCGCGGAAUUCCCGGUGUAGAGGUGAAAUUCGUAGAUAUCGGGAGGAACACCGGUGGCGAAGGCGGCGACCUGGGUUGACACUGACGCUGAGGCGCGAAAGCGUGGGGAGCGAAACAGG
rnacentral:rRNA from 1 species